rnacentral:piRNA from 1 species
UGCUCAGCCAGUAGUAGCCACAGCACCCU